AGCUCUAAUAGCGUAUAUUAAUACUGUUGCAGUUAAAACGCUCGUAGUUGAACUUAGAAUUAUUACAAGUUGUUUUACUUGAUUGUAAAAUGCUUGCUUAAUUCUUAUCUACUGGAUACUCUACUCUGUACUUAAUUGUAUGGAGUAUCGCCUAGCCAGCGGAGCAAAGGUUCGUAAAUUCCUGAUUUUGCACAAGGAAGUAAAAUUCUGACAUGUGAUUUUGGGGGUUAAUUUAUGGAUCGGUGUGGGGUGCCAGUUAAUUUACCUUGAGUAAAUUAGAGUGUUCAAAGCAGCCUCUUGGGGCUUUGAAUAAUUUAGCAUGGGAUAAUGGAAUAGGAUUGGAUUCCUAUUUGUUGGUUUGACGAAUUCAAUAAUGAUUAAGAGGGACAGUUGGGGGCACUCAUAUUAAGUGGUUAGCGGUGAAAUGUGUUGACCCACUUAAGAUGAACUAAAGCGAAAGCAUUUGCCAAGGAUGUUUUCA
rnacentral:rRNA from 1 species